rnacentral:rRNA from 1 species
AACGAACGCUGGCGGCAGGCCUAACACAUGCAAGUCGAGCGCCCCGCAAGGGGAGCGGCGGACGGGUGAGUAACGCGUGGGAACGUGCCCUCUUCUACGGAAUAGCCUCGGGAAACUGGGAGUAAUACCGUAUACGCCCUUUGGGGGAAAGAUUUAUCGGAGGAGGAUCGGCCCGCGUUGGAUUAGGUAGUUGGUGGGGUAAUGGCCUACCAAGCCGACGAUCCAUAGCUGGUUUGAGAGGAUGAUCAGCCACACUGGGACUGAGACACGGCCCAGACUCCUACGGGAGGCAGCAGUGGGGAAUCUUAGACAAUGGGCGCAAGCCUGAUCUAGC